rnacentral:rRNA from 1 species
UACGUAGGGGGCAAGCGUUGUCCGGAUUUAUUGGGCGUAAAGAGCGUGUAGGCGGCUUUACAGGUCCGUUGUGAAAACUCGAGGCUUAACCUCGAGAUGUCGGCGGAAACCAUCUGGCUAGAGUCCGGAAGAGGAGAGUGGAAUUCCUGGUGUAGCGGUGAAAUGCGCAGAUAUCAGGAAGAACACCCGUGGCGAAGGCGGCUCUCUGGGACGGUACUGACGCUGAGACGCGAAAGCCAGGGAGCGAAACGGG